UACGAAGGGAGCUAGCGUUGUUCGGAAUCACUGGGCGUAAAGCGCACGUAGGCGGAUGUGUCAGUCAGAGGUGAAAUCCCGGAGCUCAACUUCGGAACUGCCUUUGAUACUGAGAGGCUCGAGUCCGGGAGAGGUGAGUGGAACUGCGAGUGUAGAGGUGAAAUUCGUAGAUAUUCGCAAGAACACCAGUGGCGAAGGCGGCUCACUGGCCCGGUACUGACGCUGAGGUGCGAAAGCGUGGGGAGCAAACAGG
rnacentral:rRNA from 1 species